UACGGGGGGGGCAAGCGUUGUUCGGAAUUACUGGGCGUAAAGGGCGCGUAGGCGGUUUGCUAAGUUGAAUGUGAAAACUCUGGGCUUAACCCAGAGCCUGCAUUCAAUACUGGCAGGCUAGAGUUCUGGAGGGGAUAGCGGAAUUCCUGGUGUAGCGGUGAAAUGCGUAGAUAUCAGGAGGAACACCGGUGGCGAAGGCGGCUAUCUGGACAGAGUCUGACGCUGAGGCGCGAAAGCUAGGGGAGCAAACAG
rnacentral:rRNA from 1 species